GGCCGAAUCCCCGAGGAAGCUCGGAGCUGGCCAAUUAGAAGGGAGCCCGGCCGGAAAGACGGCGCUGCAGAGAGGAAGUGCAGGGCGGAGGCGUAUUCGGUGCCAGCUGGGAGGUGACAUGCGGCAAGGGCAUGGGGAUAUGGGCCCAGGCUUCCGUAGGGGAUGUCCUUGGCGUUCCCAAGCCGAGGCAGGGGACCGCAGGUGGCGAAGCGAGCCGCCCGGAAGCGGGACCCUUGAGAAGCGGGGCUGGAGCGGCUUCAGGGGAGCAAGAGGACCUUGCAGACCGUGAGGCCGCGAACGAGGAAAGGCUUCCCCAGGCCCUAGGCUUGAGGAGGCUGGAGUGCAAUGGUGUGAUCUCGGCUCACUGCAACCUCCGCCUCCCAGGUUCAAGCGAUUCUCUUGCCUCAGCCUCCCAAGUAGCUGAUAUUACAGGCGCCCGCUACCACAUCCUGCUAAUUUUUGUAUUUUUAGUAGAGACGGGGUUUCACCAUGUUGGCCAGGCUGGUCUCGAACUCCUGGACCUCAGCUGUUCCUCCUGCCUUGGCCUCCCAAAGUGCUGGGAUUACAGGCUUGAGCCACCGCGCCUGGCCGUUAAAGAACUUUUGAGCCAUAUAUCAGCCUGUCCUAGGAUCUGAGAAGACAGAUGAGGAAAGAGCAUUUGUGGCCUCCAGGACCACGGUCCAGUGGAUUAGUAAUGGGCUUUGGAGUCCCACAAAUCUAGGUUGGAAUCACAGCUUGCUUACUUCAUAGGUAUGUUAUCUUGUGCAGGUUGCUUAACCACACUAAGUCUCAAGAGCUUCAUCUGUAAAAUAGGGAAAAUACCUCAUGCAAUUGUUGUGAGGUUUAAAUAAAAUAAUGUGUUAUAAAUGUUUAACUUGGUGUUUCGGGUAUACCCUUCAAAAAAUAAAAAAUAAAUAAAUAAAAAUGUUUAGCAUAGUUCCUGGCACAUAGUAAAAGCCCAGUAAGUGUAAGUUGCUAUUAAUUAUAGUAGUAGGAGAGGUAAGUAGGCAAGUGUAAUAGAUUAGAUUCCCAUAGAAGCAUGAGCAAUGGGUUGUGGGAUCCCUAGGAAGGCUUCAGAAAAGUAGUUGCAUUUGAGCAGGGCCUUUAAAUAUGAAUAAGAGCUUGCUGGAUGGAGAAGGAAGAAAGGCAUUUCAAGCGGAGGAAACAAUAAAUAAAGGCCCAGAAGUUUGAAUGUUGGGCAGCUAUUCAGAAAUAGCCUCGCUUGGGGAUUUGGGACGGCAACCUUUCACAUUCCUUGUGUUGCUGUCCCCAAAAUAAAGUAACAAACGAGUAUGCUGGUUCA